UACGUAGGGUGCGAGCGUUGUCCGGAAUUAUUGGGCGUAAAGAGCUCGUAGGCGGUGUGUCGCGUCGGCCGUGAAAACCUGCAGCUUAACUGUGGGCUUGCGGUCGAUACGGGCAUCGCUGGAGUGCGGCAGGGGAGACUGGAAUUCCUGGUGUAGCGGUGGAAUGCGCAGAUAUCAGGAGGAACACCGGUGGCGAAGGCGGGUCUCUGGGCCGUUACUGGCGCUGAGGAGCGAAAGCGUGGGGAGCGAACAGG
rnacentral:rRNA from 1 species